AGAAAUAAGAUGACGUAGGCUAACUGGGAAAACUGGGUAAGCUAAAGUAACUUCAGUAAACUCUUGGCUAGAGGGAGAUAAAUAUUGAAUGGGUUAUCAUUGUAAAAAAACACAAACCAUUAUGAAGAACAAUUAACACAAAGAAGUAUAUUUAAAUCUAGGUCAGUGUAUAUAGCUACCGUUAGCUCUAAAACUCCACCAAAUUGUGAGGAAAAAAUUAUAAUUUCUGACAAUGACUGAUAAAUGUGUAUCCAGGACAUCUCGGACUAUACAGACUCAAAAUCAAGCAUUUUAUAGUAUCAAUUUAGAGAUUUUUCAAAGUAAAAGUACCACAUUUGUAACUUGAAAUGACUUCCUUUCUGACACUUGAGAUGUUGUAAACACAUUGCCAAAUCAUAUAUCUGAUUUGACUGACUUAUAUAUUUUAGUUGAGUGAUUUUGAAUGAAAUGUAGCCAGAGAUGUCCUGAACUCAAAUGUAUCAUUCACUGUCAGAAAUUAUGGAGCGGUUUGUUUUUACAGCAACUCAAGUUUCAGAAAGGCAGGCAUUUCAAAGUACAUGCGGGAAUUCUAAUGUUAUCCAUCCAUAUCUAACAUUAUAUCAUAUGCUUGAUUGUGAGACUAUAACUAGUUGUCCUUAAAAUAUAAAAAAUAGAGUAAUUUUUUAAUCACAAUUUAGCAGUUAUUUUUUUGAUAAAAUGGACACAGUAUUUUUAUACUUCCGGUUAAUCCAAUUAAUAUUUAUUUCCAUAUAUGUAAAACCGGGCGUAUCCUUGCGCAAUCCAUACACUGUAAUAAAAAAUAAAAUAAAAAAAUAGUACCGCGGAGUGACGGCUAGCUUGACCGCAGCACCGUCGUUAAUUGGAUCGGUGAAAAGCAUGGUGAAAAGGUUAGCUAGCUAGCUAACAUGUUAGCAAACAAACGUUGGUUUUGAAGUUGAAGAAAUACAAGUUUCCCAAAGUGGAGGACUGAAGAUUGGAUCCAUUUUCGCGUCCAGCUACCGUCCUCGUCGGACCCCAGAGGGCGCUGUUAUUAUUUAGUGUUGACGCAGUAUUUUUAUUUUAUUCGUUUUUUUGGACAACGAAGAUGCCUGCAAACCAUUUAAUGCAAACUCAAGAUAGAUUUGUCCAGGCAGCUUCACACCUCCACCAAUCUCAUGCAGAGGAGCAUGAGAUUGCUGUGUCCGACUUGCUCGUGGGCCUUUUCAGUGAUGCCAGCUGCAAUCACCAUGCUGCAGUCCUGCAUAUUUCUGGGUAAAAUCCCUUGUGCUCUUCUCUACCUGUUGAGCUUCACCCUCACCUCUUCCUCUGUUGGGAGCAUGGCGCUCACAUCAGUCGACAGCUACGUAUGUGGCUAUUUGUAAUCCUCUUCGCUAUUAUUCCACAGUAACACCAAGCAGAGUUCAAAGCUGUAUGCCUUAGACUUAGACUUAGAGUUAGAAAACUUGUCCCUUGAAAAAUGUCCCCGAGAGGCAAUUUGUUGUACAGUACAGGCACAUUGACACAUAAUCCACAACACAAACAUUGAACCAGAUAUCCACAGCGCUACCUAUCCAACACAUCAAUAAAUAGAAUACAGUAAAAGGAGUAUAUUGCACAAUAUCAUAAAUAAAUAAAAUAAAAACUACUGCACAUUAUCCUACAUCACAUCUAUUCCUUCAGUUAUACCCCUCCCUACACCUUAUUUAAUUGGGUUAUUGCCAUAAGAAUGAAUGAGUUUUUUGCUCGGUUGGUUUUGACAUUGGGAUAUCUAUAUCUACGACCUGAAGGGAGCGGCUUGAACUCCGCUGAAAGUGGAUGGGUUGUAUCCAUGUCUCUGUGUUGGUUCUGUUCAGGGCUGGACUGGACUGGGACAAAAAAUCGGCCCUGGCAUUUUUGGCCCAGGCGGCCCACACCCACCGUGAUUGGUCAAACCCAUUCCCUGCAGAUAGUCCUCUUAAAAUAUGCGUGCAUUCUAUGAUAUGAGUUGCCUAGUUUUAGAUCCUUCAAGAAUUAUCUGUUGAGCUUACACAUAAAUAAUUAAUUCAUUCUUAGAGUUAUGAUUUGGU